rnacentral:misc_RNA from 1 species
GAUGAAGAACGUAGCGAAAUGCGAUACGUAAUGUGAAUUGCAGAAUUCAGUGAAUCAUCGAAUCUUUGAACGCACAUUGCGCCCGCUAGUAUUCUGGCGGGCAUGCCUGUCCGAGCGUCAUUUCAACCCAUCAAGCUUAGCGCUUGUGUUGGAGCCCUGCGGCCGCCGCAGCCUCCUAAAAUCAGUGGCGGGCUCGCUAUCACGCUGAGUGCAGUAGUAUUCUUCUCACUCCUGUGGUGUAGCGGGUAACCAGCCGUAAACCCCCCCAUCUAUAAAGGUUGACCUCGGAUCAGGUAGGAAUACCCGCUGAACUUAAGCAUAUCAAUAAGCGGAGG